UCUCUCUCUCUCUGUUCUUUUCUUGUGUUAGCUUUCUUUCACCGCUCUGUCUUCACAAUGGCUUUUCCCUCUUUCAAGCUCACUUGUGUCUCUUUUUCCCUUUUCCUUUAUUUAAAUAAACAUUAAUCAUCCUUUAACUUUUAACAGAAAAAGUAGUUAUUUUUAGGAUGCCUUUUAUGACUCACCAAGACAGGGUUAGGUCCCCUGGAUUUGCAAUCUCACAAGAGGCUGUAGCGUCAUUGAAAGUCAAAGCAUUUGUACAAAGAUGUAUUCUGGCAAAUUCGAAUUCCAUGGACCAUCAUCUUUCACUCUCAUCACAACUUUAUGAAGUGCUUGGUAUUAUCACUGUUUGGAAGAUGAAGACAUGGAGUCCUCAAGGCUUCGGGGAUUUGUCCUAGGCUACAGUGGGUAGCAAUGGGUUUGCUACAGGAGGGGCGAGUAAUGACUUAGCAGAACUUCUUCGUGAAUUACUGGAAGCCAGCAUGUUCCUCCUGCUCUGGCUUGUGCAGGAAUAAACCACACACCACUUAACAGGGUUGGUGGUUUUUCUUGUCCUUUCCUGUUUGGAGAAGGACGUUGACAGUAGAGAAAGCCAAGGCACUGACUCAUGAACAGUAGAGACUGUCAGCAGAGCAGAGAACGAUACCCACCUUCUAAACUUCUCAUCUCCAUACUUCUGAUGAAACAACCAAACAAGAGCCAAAAUUACUCUUAAAAAUUCUGAGAAAUUAUAGUGUGAUGAAGGUUAACAUGACCACUGAUGUCAUGUGGAUAUCACAUAGCGCCUCCCCACAAUAUGACGCGACAAUGAAGGCACUUCACCUAUGUGAUACUCUUCCAAAAACGUAGACUCCAGUCUAAUCAUAAGAAAAAUGACAGACCAGCCCACAUGGGGAGGUGUUCUACAGUAUUCCUGGGCGGUACUUCUCAAUACUGUUAAGGUAAUGAACAAUAAGGAAGACAGAUAAACUGUCGCAGAGCAGAGGAGCCUGGGGAGCCAUGCAAACUAAAUGCAAUGUGGUACCCUGGCCUGAAUCCUGGAGCACAAAAUAGAUGCUAAUGGAAACACUGAUGAAAUCCAAUACAGCCCAGUGUUUGGCUAAUAGUAAACACCAGCAUCCGCUUCUUAGUUGUGACAAAUGUACCAUCGUAUUUUACAAUGGUAAAAUAUAUCUAGGUUCCAUGGGGGAAACUAGAUGAAGGAUAUGCAGGAACUCUGUGUACUAUCUUUGCAACUUUUCUGUCAAUCUAAAAUUAGGCUGAAAUUUAAAAACAUGAUUUUAAAAGCUG
rnacentral:lncRNA from 1 species